AGUGGAGUGCCUGAAUAAAGGACAAUUUUGAUAGAAUUGAAUAUGUAGGAGCCCCCUGCCUCCACUU
rnacentral:tRNA from 1 species